rnacentral:tRNA from 1 species
CAGAGUGUAUUUUAAUAUAAAAUAUUAAUUUUGGGUUUUAAAAAUAAAGUUAUUCUUUCUCUCUGA